GCACCCGCACAAGCGGUGGAGCAUGCUGUUUAAUUCGAAGAUACGCGAAAAACCUUACCAGGGCUUGACAUCCCUCUGACCGAUUUAGAAAUAAAUCUUUCCCUUCGGGGACAGGGGUGACAGGUGGUGCAUGGUUGUCGUCAGCUCGUGUCGUGAGAUGUUUGGUUAAGUCCAAUAACGAGCGCAACCCUUGUCUUUAGUUGCUAACAUUUAGUUGAGAACUCUAAAGAUACUGUCGGUGAUAAACCGGAGGAAGGUGGGGAUGACGUCAAAUCAUCAUGCCCCUUACGUCCUGGGCAACAGGCGUGCUACAAUGGCCAGUAUAAUAAGACGCAAUAUCGUAAGAUGGAGCUAAUCUAUAAAGCUGGUCCCAGUUCGGAUUGAGGUCUGCAACUCGACCUCAUGAAGUUGGAAUCGCUAGUAAUGGCAGAUCAGAAUGCUGCCGUGAAUACGUUCCCGGGUGUU
rnacentral:rRNA from 1 species